CAUAGUCGGCCUCAAAUUAUCAUUCAUUCAUUUAUUAUUUUUUGAAAGAAAAUUUUACUAAAUUCACCUCGGAGACUUUUUCUAAUGAUCCUAUGCAUUGUUUAUUGCAUGGCGAAGGCGCAUGCGAGUGCAACUACCUGAUUAUGACUAUACCCAGAUAUGACCUCAACCAAGCUACAACCUCUAAACGUAAUUAUUUGUCAGUGAUCUGCAGUGAUUUGAGAAAAUAUUCUUUAAUAGCCAUGUGUUCGUUUUUUGCAAGUCGCCGGAAUAGUUGUUGUGCAUGAUCCACAAGAAAACUAUAUCUGGAUAACGGACAUGAACCACAUUUUGUGCUUAGAUAUAACAAUAACAAUAAACAUGUAUUUUAUUCCAAUGUCGAAUAAAAUCAGUAUAUGUUGAACCAAA